GUGAGGGAUAUUGCACAAUGGACGAAAGUCUGAUGCAGCAACGCCGCGUGAGGGACGACGGUUUUCGGAUUGUAAACCUCUGUCCUUGGUGAAGAUAAUGACGGUAGCCAAGGAGGAAGCAACGGCUAAUUACGUGCCAGCAGCCGCGGUAAUACGUAAGUUGCGAGCGUUAUUCGGAAUUACUUGGGUGUAAAGGAAGCGCAGGCGGGAGAUCAAGUCAGCGGUGAAAUGUAUGGGCUUAACCCAUGAACUGCCGUUGAAACUGAUUUUCUUGAGUGAGGUAGAGGUCAGCGGAAUUUCCAGUGUAGCAGUGAAAUGCGCAGAGAUUGGAAAGAACAUCAGUGGCGAAGGCGGCUGACUGGGCCUUAACUGACGCUGAGGCUUGAAAGUGUGGGUAGCAAACAGG
rnacentral:rRNA from 1 species